CGAAUUCACUAGUGAUUUUGGAGGGCAAGUCUGGUGCCAGCAGCCGCGGUAAUUCCAGCUCCAAUAGCGUAUAUUAAAGUUGUUGCAGUUAAAAAGCUCGUAGUUGAAUUUCGGGGUCUAUCCAACGGUCGGGCUUUUACGGUUCGCACUGUUGCGAUGGAUUCCUACCUUCUGAAUAACCGGUUUGCCAUUAACUUGGUGGGUCGGGGAGGCAGGACUAUUACCUUGAAAAAAUUAGAGUGCUCAAAGCAGGCCAGCGCCUGGAUACAUUGGCAUGGAAUGAUAAAAUAGGACGGCAUGGUUCUAUUUUGUUGGUUUCUAGGAUCACCGUAAUGAUUAAUAGGGAUAGUUGGGGGCAUUAGUAUUCAAUUGUCAGAGGUGAAAUUCUUGGAUUUAUUGAAGACUAACUACUGCGAAAGCAUUUGCCAAGGAUGUUUUCAUUAAUCAAGAACGAAAGUUAGGGGAUCGAAGACGAUCAGAUACCGUCGUAGUCUUAACCAUAAACUAUGCCGACUAGGGAUCGGAUGAUGUUAAUUUAAAAGGGACUCAUUCGGCGCCUUACGGGAAACAAUCGAAUUCCCGCGGCC
rnacentral:rRNA from 1 species